rfam:Clostridium chromiireducens strain DSM 23318 CLCHR_contig000018, whole genome shotgun sequence.
AAGUGUAAAUAGCAAAUCCAUUGAAAGGUGGAGACGCAAAGCCAUGAGUCUAAAGCAACGUUAAUUGCCAUGAUAGUCAGGUUGCCAAA